rnacentral:rRNA from 1 species
UACGUAGGUGGCGAACGUUGUCCGGAUUUACUGGGCGUAAAGCGCGCGUAGGCGGGCUGGUAAGUCAGAGGUGAAAUCUCCCGGCUCAACUGGGAGGGGCCCUCUGAUACUGCCAGCCUUGAGAUGCCUAGAGGAGAGUGGAAUUCCCGGUGUAGUGGUGGAAUGCGUAGAUACCCGGAGGAACACCAGUGGCGAAGGCGGCUUCCUGGUCUGCGACUGACGCUGUGGCGCGAAAGCUAGGGGAGCAAACGGG